UUCGAUACAUUUACUCAUAGACUCUUUUAUUACUUAUAUAAUAGAUUCAUUAUAUAUAAUCAAAAAGGAGAAGUAGUUUUUUAAUUAAUGAUACUAAAAAGGGAGAGUAAAUAUAUGUUUAGUAUAAGCAACAUUUUUAAAAAAUAAAUUUUUUAGAAAUAAUAUGACUCUUAUUGGCCCUAUAAUAUAUGAUUUAUAUCACUUAUGCAGCA
rnacentral:lncRNA from 1 species